rnacentral:lncRNA from 1 species
GUUGGAAAUGAAAUUAUUGUCCAUUGAUAAUAUUGGAAAUAUUGUUAGAAAACAUUAAUAUUGUUCGUGUGUGGUUUGAAAGUCUGUUCUUGUUUGAUCCUUCGGAUUGUCACAAUAGUGCAUAGGUAACUAAUUGUAUCUGUUUCCGUAAGAAUUGUUUGAAUCGUCAUGGAUUGUUUUGAUAUUCGGGCUCCUGAAUUGAUGUUCUGUAGUCAAGUGGCGAUUGACCUGUAUGGUAUCGUUCCUAACAUCACAUAAGUAGAUUUUUAUAAAUUGGCUUAGGGUUCUGUUUGUCUCCUUAUGGUUGAUAAAUUUCUGUCUCCACCUGGUAAGGUUGUUUGACUUUUCCUUUGUUGUCAUAAAGAAGGUUCGGGCCUCUACCAUAUUGUUGUGAAGAGGUUUUUGAUAUUGUUGUUGAAAACUUCAGAUGGUGGUUACUUGUUAUGUUUGUAAUUUGAAUUGUCUUUGAUGGUUUCUAAUUGAUAAACAUGAUGUUGAUUUGCCUCUUCUUGUUUUCUGAGUUCUUCUACGGUUCUUGUAGUUAGAAAGGAUGUUUGGACUUCUGGGGACUACAUGUCGUUGUUGUGGACUGGCUUGGCAGCGAGGGUGGGACUCGCGCCUUCUUACCCUUUUUAAUGAAAUAAAUAAGACAACUCAAUUUGCUGGUUGGAACAAGGAUUGUAAUGUAAUGUAAUGUCAUGUUUCUUUUCUUUUUGAUCGUAAAAUAUUACAAUGCAUAAAUCAUACAGAUUAAUAACAGAUAACAUUAUCAAUUGACAAUAAAAAAUAUAUUUCUAUUUCAAAUAUUGCUCGAAUUAAACUUAUUAUAUUUAUUGAAUUAUUUCCUAUUAAUUUUCAAUUAAUUUAUUUUAUUAAAUUACUUUAAUUAACAUUAUAUAGCUUACCUUUUUAAUGAAAUAAAUAAGACAACUCAAUUUGCUGGUUGGAACAAGGAUUGUAAUGUAAUGUACGGGCAGUAGACUUAUAUUUGCUUUUAUAGUCACUACUCAUUACCCGACAUUCCUGUUCCCCAGACAAGAUUGAGCGUCUUUUGUAAAAGAUGGAAUGUGUUGCCAAAACAUUUAUUGCUUCAUAAUAUGCAAAAUGUAUUUAUUUGUUUUUGAAAAGCAUUUGGACUUUUAUUUCUUAAAUUAAAUAAAAUAAUAUUUUUGUAAGAAUUUCAAUUUCUGAUCUUUAUUAUAAUUGAUAAUUAAAGAUUUGUUAAAUUUUAAUUAAUAUCUUGUGUACGUCAAUCUUCGUAUCUAAACUUUUUGAUUGGUUAUUAAUACAAUCUUGUGUGCCUAAAUGUAUUACUGAAUAUUCAUGAUGCUGUAGUAUCUACACAUUCUGUGAAUAUGGUUAUAACCUUGGAUGUAAUAUCAAUUCAACAUACAUAUGUCCGUCGACCUAGCAACCUUCUAACAAGUGCCAAAUAACUAAUGAGGUUCUUGACUUGUACUAUCUUUGCUUGUCAUGCAUCUAAGAUAAUGGCUUGUUAUUCGCUAGCUUCUUUAUGUGUUUUCUUCUUACUUUUAUUUUCCUAUAUCAAUGAAUCAUUUUGACCUUUAUAUAAUCUUUUACUUGGAACUAUCUUAAUUACCUAUAAACCUAUAUUUUUGUUUAAAUAAGAUCUAUUUUAUUUCAAUUUCUAAUUAUUUCUAAAAGUGUCCUAAAUCCUUUCAUAACAUUAUUGUUGUGAUGGUAUUUUUGGACAUCAGUUGUGAAAGGAAGUUCUUCGUCGACUGUUGUGACGGGGAUUUUAUGUUGUUUUAGUUGUUGUAAUGUUAACUUCCCAGGGAGGUCACUUGUUAAUGUUGUUAUUACGGUUGUCUUCGGUGGUUUCUAAAUUGAACAACAUGGUGUUGAUUUGCCUCCUCUCG